rnacentral:rRNA from 1 species
UAGUCCACGCCCUAAACGAUGCUUACUGGAUAUUCCUGUCAUGGGAGUGUCUGAGGGAAACCAUUAAGUAAGCCACCUGGGGAGUACGUCGGCAACGAUGAAACUCAAAGGAAUUGACGGGGUCCGCACAAGCGGUGGAGCAUGUGGUUUAAUUCGAUGAUACGCGAGGAACCUUACCCAGGCUCUAAUGCUAUGCACUACACGGUGAAAGCUGUGGUUCUUCGGACGUAUAGCAAGGUGCUGCAUGGUUGUCGUCAGCUCGUGCCGUGAGGUGUUGGGUUAAGUCCCGCAACGAGCGCAACCCUUGUCUCCAGUUGCCAGCACGUAAUGGUGGGGACUCUGGAGAGACUGCCGGCGCAAGCCGCGAGGAAGGUGGGGAUGACGUCAAAUCAGCACGGGCCCUUAUGUCCAGGGGCUACACACGUGUUACAAUGGACGGUACAAAGGGCAGCUACCUGGUGACAGGAUGCUAAUCUCUAAAGCCGUUCUCAGUUCGGAUC